UCUCCCAUUUGACCACCACAUAUCCUCCUAAUAAUAGAUUUUAGUGGCUACGCUUAUGGAAUAGAUUGAUAUUGCUGUGAUCUGAAGAAGGAGAUUCUCAUGUCCUCUAACAGAAAACCAGUGCCUAGAACACU
ensembl:snoRNA